rnacentral:lncRNA from 1 species
GCGGGUACUUGCUGUGAGUGUGCGUGCAUGCGUGGUGCGGGGAGGAGAUGGAAAAGACAUGGGUCGAUCCUGUUAUUCAGCUGAGUGCCCUAGGCAAGUUACUUAAACUCUCUGAGCAUGGCCUCGUUUGAUUCUUCUGAAGGAAGAGUAACGGAGGGGUUGUGGCUGUGGCUCAGUGGUAGAGCGCUCGCCCAGGAUGCGUGAGACACUGGGUUCCAUCCGCAGCCCCGCAUAAAAAUAAACAAAUAAGAUAAAGUCAUUCUGCCCAACUAAAAAAAAAAAAUUAACCGAGAUAAAGUGUGUGAAGCGUCACUCUGGAAUAUCUUGUGCCUCCCUUAUGUCUCCCCUUAGAUGUCCUCCAAAGGCCUCUUUUCUCUCAUUUAUCUUCCUCCCUCUACCACUUUUUUGUCUGUCCUGCUCUAGGUCUCUCUGUCUACUGUGCUAGCACCCUCAUGGCACACUCAAGGGGAGUCAGCAACUGGCGCUUCCUGCGGCUGUGGCCUCCGGGAAGAGGCAAGUUGGGAAGGGGAAGGACAGCAAAGGCAGCAAACUGAUGGCAUGAGGAGCCUUUCUUCCGUGCAAGAUGUGGAACUGGAAAGAUGAUGGGAGGAGAAUGGAUCUCUGCGGCUAGCAGGUGCCAGGCCCGAGGUGCUGCUGGCCACUCAAGCCACACCUGGCAGAGCUGGCCUGGGGUUGGGGGAGCUGGGAUGCCUCUCCCCACAGGACCUGCUACACCCUGCAGGGCCCUGUGCAAAAUAAAAU